AACACGCUCCUUAGAUCCACCUCUGGAGGGCGCUGUGCUCUAAGCUCCGCCCCUCAGCAGCUUCACGGCUGUACAGUCGGAGGUGCUUGAGUCAUUGGCGUGUGAGAACAGUCCACCUGUCCUCCAGUCCACCUGCAGCUCUGGAAACCCUGAUCACCAGACAGGGAGACCCCGGAGCUGCCAGUCUGGAGGACGGACAAA